AUUGAACGCUGGCGGCAGGCCUAACACAUGCAAGUCGAGCGGAUGAAGGGAGCUUGCUCCUGGAUUCAGCGGCGGACGGGUGAGUAAUGCCUAGGAAUCUGCCUGGUAGUGGGGGAUAACGUCCGGAAACGGGCGCUAAUACCGCAUACGUCCUGAGGGAGAAAGUGGGGGAUCUUCGGACCUCACGCUAUCAGAUGAGCCUAGGUCGGAUUAGCUAGUUGGUGGGGUAAAGGCCUACCAAGGCGACGAUCCGUAACUGGUCUGAGAGGAUGAUCAGUCACACUGGAACUGAGACACGGUCCAGACUCCUACGGGAGGCAGCAGUGGGGAAUAUUGGACAAUGGGCGAAAGCCUGAUCCAGCCAUGCCGCGUGUGUGGAGAAGAUCUUCGGAUUGUAAAGCACUUUAAGUUGGGAGGAAGGGCAGUAAGUUAAUACCUUGCUGUUUUGACGUUACCAACAGAAUAAGCACCGGCUAACUUCGUG
rnacentral:rRNA from 1 species